AUGUGUCUAAUAGAAGAGCCUAAAUAUUUAAAGUAAUGAAAUAAAACGCUACUUAACGUAAAUACUUCAUCAAAAAUCUUCAAGCUCACCUGGGCAAAAUGAAGACUUUAAUUAACGGAUUAUAUUUCUUUUUAUCGGCAUCAUUAAUCAUAAGCACGGUUUGUUGUGAGAAUAAUGAGCAAAAUUGGAACAAUGAAAUUUCUGAAGCAAUCAACAAGCGGCUUUAUGACCUCGAGACGAAACAAAACAUUUGUGAGAACAAAAUUGAAAGGUUGGAAGCAGCAUUGCAAAAAGCCAGAGUAAAUUAAAGAUCAAUCAUUGGGGAAAAUGUCGCUUUUUCAACUCUACUGUCAAAAAACAAGACCAUAUUGGUUUAGGCCAGACAAUAAAGUUUGAUCACGUUUUGCUAAAUGAUGGAAAUGGUUACAGCGUGCACUCUGGAACAUUCACUGCCCCAACCGACGGGGUGUACAUGUUUACAUACUUUUUCGCCCAUGGCGGCUUAGUGGCUGGCCAAGUUUGGUUGGAGCUUAUGAAGAAUGGAAAGAAGAUUAAUGCUGGUGUAACCGAUCCAUUUCAUACAUAUCAAGAUCAGCAAGGAGGAAAUGUGGCGAUUAUACGAGUACAAGCUGGUGACGCAAUAUGUGUUGAAUCGUUUCAUCAAAACGACGCAAUGAUAGUCGGAACCCAAGGGUUCACGACAUUUUCUGGAGUUUUAUUAUAUUAACUAACUUCUUUUUUCACGGAUACUCUGUGAAAUAGUUUAUAAUGAUAAUUAAAAUUAACACUCUAUGAUAAUGUUAGAAAAGAAGUUUUCAUUUUUAAGCAAUUGAUUAGCUUAAAGAGCUAUAUUAUCAUCUUAAAAAGGCUAUUUCAAGUAUGUUGAUUCAAAGUAUGUUUGUUAAGGAUUGUUUUUCCUCAUUUUCAUUUUUUUUGAAUUUACAUAGGAAACAGUUGAUAAAACAAUGCAUGCAUUGUUUUCUCUGAAAAAUGUUAUUUAAAGUGCUAAAUUAAUUGAUGACUACAGCUGUAUCCUUUAUACUUGAUUUGGUUUCUAAUUAUAUCAUUCGUGCAUCUUUCAAUAUAUCUUAUGAACACACAACAUCAUUCAAAAUCAGCGAAUUCAACCUUAAGACCUUUGUUAACGUUAAUCCGAGAAAUUUAUUUCAGUUUUUCAAG